rnacentral:rRNA from 1 species
UACGGGGGGAGCAAGCGUUGUUCGGAUUUACUGGGCGUAAAGGGCGCGUAGGCGGCACCGCAAGUCGACUGUGAAAUCUCCGGGCUUAACUCGGAAAGGUCAGCCGAUACUGCGGGGCUAGAGUGCAGAAGGGGCAACUGGAAUUCUCGGUGUAGCGGUGAAAUGCGUAGAUAUCGAGAGGAACACCUGCGGCGAAGGCGGGUUGCUGGGCUGACACUGACGCUGAUGCGCGAAAGCCAGGGGAGCAAACGGG